rnacentral:piRNA from 1 species
UGGUGCAUUAGUGAAUUCCUAAGGA